GGGCGGGGGCUCACCGGGCCGGUCCCCACGGUUCCAGCUAUUCCUGGGGCACGCGGAAGCCAGGUGCUGGAGGCGAGCACGUCACCUCUGUACGUUCGAGCGGAGAACCGCGGGUGUCAGUAGAGCCGGAUGAGCCGCAGCCCAAGCUUGUGCUCGGGCAGUGUUCUGGCUCGGCUGCUUACCAGGGUGUUUAAGUGCAAAAGUCCCCAAGGAUGUUCAGAUCCAUCUGCUGCUGCUGAUUCGUUAGUGGUGUCUGCCGAGUGGACUGGACUGCAGCUGCUGAUUCCUGCUGGUGUUUUGCUGGUGGACUGGAAUGCUGACAAUGAAGAUUAGAAUAGCCCCAAAGAACUACUUCUAAACAGGGUGAGCCAUUUCACCACGAGCCACCACCAUGAUAUGCUGUUUACCUCAGGCCCAGAGACGUGGUCACAUGCAGAAAGGACACAUGAGCAUGUGUUUGUGUGACAGUCUUGGGAAAACAGAAUCUCCUGUAUCAUCUGAGAUCAUUUAACUUCUGAGAAGACAAGCUGUAUGCAUACCAAAAAUACCACCCGCAAGAUAUAAAUGCAAGACAGAAGUUACAAAAUCAACUUCUUCUCCCUCACUGCUCCUUGAGUCCUCCUCUGGGCACGGUGGGCCAGUAACAAGCAUAUUUAUUUAGCUGGCAACAUUUUUUUUUUUACAAUACUACAGGGAGAAACUGAGUUUGUCACGUGUAUUCCUAGUCUCUCUGAGAACAGGUAGGAGGGAGUACACCCUCCCUCACUGCACUGGUAAUGCUUGCUUCAGAGGGUCCUUUCCACACACCCUGGCUGACACAGUGAGCAGGUGUCUAAACUUCUUACCUUGUGUCUUUUAAUCCUUUCUUUCAUCUUCAAAAAUAUGGAGCUGUUACCUUAAGUAUCCACAGUUUUCAUGUCAGUGAUAGCAAAGCCGGGCUGCUUUUGUAAGUGGUUUGAGGGCCUGUGAGAUGACUUAGACUAUAACAGUGCUUGUUAUGCCAGUCUGAUGAUCUGAGUUCCAUGUUCAGGUCCCACAGUGGAAGGCAGGGAAUGUGUACUCUAGCCCCCAUGUGAUAGCUACACUCAUACACACAUCACAUACACACAAAUGAUGAUGGUCUGAUGUUGGUAGUGAUGAUAGUGUAGUGAUGAUGAUGGGUCUGGAGAGAUGACAGUGGUUAGGAAACUGUUCUUCCAGAUCCCUAGGUUCUGUUCACAGCACCUAUAUCAGAUAGCCCAUAACCACCUGUAACUGUGGCUCCAAGGAAUUUGACACCUCUUCCCUCCAUGAACAUUUACAUGCAUAUAUGUACAUACCCAUUCACAGACACAUAUGCAUAUAUGUGUAUAUAUAUAUAUAUACACUGAACUUCUGAGUGGACAAACGUUUGGUUCACCAUGCCCCUUCUCCUCCUGGCCUGGUUUCCGUCUUGUGGUGAUGACUCCAUAUGUGCUAGUGAGCUUCACUGAGAAGCAAGUGUGUGCCAGUGUUUCCCUCAGGCACAGUGACUAAUCCUGAGAGGUGCUGAGCUAGAACCUGCUUCCAAUGCAUGGGUGACCACGAACUAAAUACAUAAUACUCCAGGCAAGUAUGAGUGCCUUCCUCUCUGCAGCUCCUUAGCCUCCCAGAACCACAAGAGGAGCUUUACACAGACCUCCGAGAUGCAUUGCUGUCAGGAUCUGAAGACAACAUUAGAAAACCAAAGAUGGUUUUCACUCUAUUUUUAUAAUAAUAAAAUGCUGUGUACACC
ensembl:lincRNA Gm6277 predicted gene 6277